GAGGUGUUUCAACAGGAAGAGAUUCAAAAAGCUUUCGGGGAAUUUUUUACAGAACUGUAUAAAGGGGAUAAAAUUAAUGGUUUAGACAUAGACAAAUAUUUAGACAAAGAGAAAAUACCUUCAGUUAGAGAAGAGCACAGGCAAAAAUUGAACCAACCAAUAACCUCAGGGGAAAUCCUGCAGGUAAUUAAGCAAUUAAAGUCAGGGAAAGCACCAGGUACAGAUGGCUUGACAGCGGUUUACUAUAAAAACUUAGUUAGAAAUGGUAGAACCUCUUAGAGAAUUAUUUAAUAAGAUUCAAACGGAAUGUAAGGUGCCUCCAUCUUGGAAGACAGCGUUUAUAUCUUUGAUACCCAAAGAAGAUCAAGAUACUACCCAACC